CCUACGGGAGGCAGCAGUAGGGAAUAUUGGGCAAUGGAGGCAACUCUGACCCAGCCAUGCCGCGUGCAGGAUGAAGGCGUUAUGCGUUGUAAACUGCUUUUAUAUAGGAAGAAAGAGUUCUUGCGAGAACAGUUGACGGUACUAUAUGAAUAAGCACCGGCUAACUCCGUGCCAGCAGCCGCGGUAAUACGGAGGGUGCAAGCGUUGUCCGGAUUUAUUGGGUUUAAAGGGUGCGUAGGCGGUUUAUUAAGUCAGUGGUGAAAGACGGUCGCUCAACGAUUGCAGUGCCAUUGAUACUGGUAGACUUGAGUGAGAUUGAGGUAGCUGGAAUGGAUAGUGUAGCGGUGAAAUGCAUAGAUAUUAUCCAGAACACCAAUUGCGUAGGCAAGUUACUAAGUCUCAACUGACGCUGAGGCACGAAAGUGUGGGUAUCAAACAGGAUUAGAUACCCUGGUAGUCCACACUGUAAACGAUGAUAACUAACUGUUGGCUUUCGGGUCAGUGGUACAGAGAAAUCGUUAAGUUAUCCACCUGGGGAGUACGCCGGCAACGGUGAAACUCAAAGGAAUUGACCGGNNGAGAGNGCGAGGACGACGACGAGGGAGGAGG
rnacentral:rRNA from 1 species